UGAGCCACCCAGACACCCCGACUGCAAAUACAAUAUGACUGCAACUAGUUUUAUGGCAAUUGUGAACCUUGUGGAGUUGCUGAUGCUGAGGUGAAACCAGAAUAUGAGCCUACUCUAAACUGAUUUGCAGCACAGUAAGAAUGGAAGAAUAAGAGAUUCUCUAUGUCACUACAUCACCUGGUCACAUCUCAUCUAAAGCUGUGUGGUUCCCUUUUAAAUUUUUCAAUGUGGACAAAAAUGUUUUUCCUUGGUGUAACUAAGACAGGCUGGUAUUUUCAAGAACAGCUUUACUAAACAUGAGGGAAAACAGAAAACAAAUAAUUACAGAAAACAUACAUGAUAUAAAAAUAGCCAAGUUUCCAACUGCAGGUUUCUGUUUCUAAAAAUUCCAUUAAAAGUAGGAAAGUUUUACUGGGCCUCAAUUUCAUUUACCCUUAGUCAACCACAUCCCUUAAUUUUGCUAUAUCCUGUCUGGACUCCUUCUCUCCCACCUCCAACACCUCAUCUAUCCCUGAGCCCUAUAAUCUUGAGCUACUAGCUUAGUUUUUUGAAUCCAUAUCCCAAGGAAAAAAAUACCCAAUAACUUACUUUUAAAACUAUCAUUCUCCUAAUAAAAAUACCCUGGACUCCCAAAGACCUGCCAGAAUGCCUGCUUACAAGAGGUUUUCAAGUUUUGAUGUUGAAGAGCCACUGGGUCUCCAACAUUAACUCUUCUCAAUUCUGAUAUUAAAUCAGCAUAGA